CGUUAGCGUCGUCGGUGAAAGCAUGGAGCGCAGAACUCCAGAAACAACAUUAGGUGACUUAAUGUCAUCAUGGAUGAAAAGAAAGGAGAUGGCUGGACUGGGAAGAGAAGUCGGCCUGGGAUUUUACAUAGCAACUGGCCCAAAAGUUGUAGUGGGGGAAGUUCGCUGUCCUUUUCUGCAUAUCGCGGCGUAGUUUUGUGGUCCGUUCAGCAUAACGUGGCGGCUCAUUUUAGAUUAUCGCGGCCGACACAGCGGCCCGCUCGGUUCUCCUGAUGGCAAAUCAACACUGCUUCUAUUGAGGUAACACGUGCACCACUGAAGGGGCAAGAGGAGGAGCUGUCAUCCACUGGAGGAGGAGCGAGCUGGUGCCCACCAGCAGUUAAGGGGCAGUUGAGGACCUGGCGACAGCGCGUCCUGGAGAUGGGAAGCAAGUUCUUCUCUCUCUCUCUUUGAGUCUCUGCUCGCCCUUUCCCUCUCCCCAUGCCUCCCCUUGUCUCUCUCACAGGAGGCGGUGUGGGCCACCAGCUGACAGAACAGCCAUCAGACUUGUGGCGCCCGGCCUGAAUCGGCCAGGGGAAGAGGGUGAUGACUAGCUCAUCAGAAAGUAGUGUCCCCAUUGCAACGUAAUCCCCGCAAUGCUUCUAUAAACAUCAAACAUGGCAUCCGAGAAAGACUAUGCUAGAGAAGGUAAGGGACAUUCCAUCAUAUAAACUGGUGUGUAUAAAUGAGUAUAGUUUAUUGAGCACAUGGAUAUGCUUGUUUUUCUCAACAAAAACAUGACACGAGAUACAAUAUAAACAUGAUAACUAUUAUAUGGCGAGUGUUUAUAGUCGUCCUGUACAUUAACUGUGUCAGUCUACUUCAUUAGCGAUUUCUUUUUCUUUGAUUUGCGUGAGCUAAAAUGCUUUCAUUCUAUUCUUUUUUUGUUUUCACGCAUUGCUUGUUUAAAUAUAUAUAUUUUUUAAAACACAGGACAUGAUAUAAGCUAGUUUUGAAUAUAAUUAGAAGCUUGUUUUUUUUAAUGGUGACGCAACCUUUAU